GACGAACGCUGGCGGCGUGCCUAACACAUGCAAGUGGAGCGACGAACCAGGGCUUGCCCUGGGCGAAGCCGCGAACGGGUGAGUAACACGUGGGCAAUCUGCCCCGAUGACCGGGACAACCCGAGGAAACUCGGGCUAAUACCGGAUGUGCUCCUGGUCCAUGAGGACCUUGAGUAAGGAGCUUCGGCCUCGCAUCGGGAGGAGCUCGCGGCCCAUUAGUUUGUGGUGAGGUAACGGCUCACCAAGACUUCGAUGGGUAGCUAGUCUGAGAGGACGAAUAGCCACACUGGGACUGAGACACGGCCAGACUCCUACGGGAGGCAGCAGUGGGAAUCUUGCGCAAUGCGCGAAAGCGUGACGCAGCAACGCCGCGU
rnacentral:rRNA from 1 species